rnacentral:rRNA from 1 species
UACGGAAGAUGCGAGCGUUAUCCGGAUUUAUUGGGUUUAAAGGGAGCGUAGGCGGGUUUUUAAGUCUGCGGUAAAAUGUCGGCGCCCAACGUCGUCGUGCCGUGGAAACUGGAGACCUUGAAUACACGCAAGGAAGAUGGAAUUCGUCGUGUAGCGGUGAAAUGCUUAGAUAUGACGAAGAACUCCGAUUGCGAAGGCAGUCUUCUGGAGUGCGAUUGACGCUGAGGCUCGAAAGUGCGGGUAUC